rnacentral:rRNA from 1 species
CGUGCUUACACAUGCAAGUCGAACGAUGAAGCCCUUCGGGGUGGAUUAGUGGCGAACGGGUGAGUAACACGUGGGCAAUCUGCCCUGCACUCUGGGACAAGCCCUGGAAACGGGGUCUAAUACCGGAUAUGACCGUCCAUCGCAUGGUGGAUGGUGUAAAGCUCCGGCGGUGCAGGAUGAGCCCGCGGCCUAUCAGCUAGUUGGUGAGGUAGUGGCUCACCAAGGCGACGACGGGUAGCCGGCCUGAGAGGGCGACCGGCCACACUGGGACUGAGACACGGCCCAGACUCCUACGGGAGGCAGCAGUGGGGAAUAUUGCACAAUGGGCGAAAGCCUGAUGCAGCGACGCCGCGUGAGGGAUGACGGCCUUCGGGUUGUAAACCUCUUUCAGCAGGGAAGAAGCGAAAGUGACGGUACCUGCAGAAGAAGCGCCGGCUAACUACGUGCCAGCAGCCGCGGUAAUACGUAGGGCGCAAGCGUUGUCCGGAAUUAUUGGGCGUAAAGAGCUCGUAGGCGGCUUGUCACGUCGGUUGUGAAAGCCCGGGGCUUAACCCCGGGUCUGCAGUCGAUACGGGCAGGCUAGAGUUCGGUAGGGGAGAUCGGAAUUCCUGGUGUAGCGGUGAAAUGCGCAGAUAUCAGGAGGAACACCGGUGGCGAAGGCGGAUCUCUGGGCCGAUACUGACGCUGAGGAGCGAAAGCGUGGGGAGCGAACAGGAUUAGAUACCCUGGUAGUCCACGCCGUAAACGGUGGGCACUAGGUGUGGGCAACAUUCCACGUUGUCCGUGCCGCAG